rnacentral:tRNA from 1 species
GUCGGUAUCGAUUAGGGGUUAAAUCACUUCGUUGUGGUGUAUUAUUCCGAAGAGCCGCUGGUUCGAUUCCAGCUACCGACA